CUCACAACAUGGUAGUUAUCUGUCCAACUAAACCAUCCAAAUUGGUACUGACCCUUUUCAGUCACAUUCAUCAUCUUGUCCCUCCGUGCCGUGACCACAAUCUUAAACCGUUUCUUUUGACCAAUCCGGUUAAAUGACAGAACACUCGGUUUAGCCUUAACCGAGACACCAGGUGGUGAUUUAGCGCUGAAUAUAUAUGUGCUUGUUGAGUUACCAUCUCCAACAUUUGUAACCGUUCUUUUAACGGUCACCGUUCUGUUGAGAUUCGGGAUCGCAAUUGAUGGGUAGUUGAGAUUAUAACCGGGAGGAAUUUUACUUGGAC
rnacentral:lncRNA from 1 species